AUGGUGCAAAGUUUUCCGGGAAAUGCAGCGAAGGCACUUGCAAAAAUGCGUCACGAGUCGACUCGUUCUUGGUGAAGAUGUGUGGCGACAAGGAUAUCCCGACUUACGGGCAUAGAGGAAACAGGAUUCUGCCAAAAUCGUGUAUGUACGGAUGUGGACCAUACAAGAACGGUAGACUGCAUUACGGACAUCUUCCAGAUGGAGUCGGAUGUUGGGCCCGAAGUUCCAUAAAUCGGUCAUACAACCCUGGGUCGUAUUACAGGGGGAAGUGCAGCAACGGAGUCUGUCAAUAGCUUCAUCUGGCCAAGAACACUUCUCUGGAUGCCGUCAUUCGACUAGUGCAGUGUUGAGUCAUUCAAUAAAGACCUUAGUGAAAGGGU